GAAAAAUCAGUCCUUAGGUUGUUCUCCAUAUAAAGCUCUGCUUGGCUUCAACAUGAUUAACCAUGGGACCGAUUAUAAGCUCUUGAAACAAUUAUCUCUACUAGAGGAACAUAGUCGCUUGAAUAGAGUGGGCCAAUUAGCAUUAUUACGGAAAGACAUAAAAUAGAAUAACGAAUGUUAAGCAAUACAACCUAAGAUCUAACCCUGUUGUAUAUAGAGAAGGACAAGAAGUCUUUAAGCGAAACUUUCACUUAAGCAAUUUUAGUCAGAAUUACAAUAAGAAGUUAGGCCAUCAAUUUUCAAAGUGUAGAACUAAAAAGAAAUUAGGUAAUGCGUUUUAUCUAUUACAAACGUUAACAGAAAAAGAAAUCGGAACACAUCACGCAAAAGAUAUACGAAGCUAAUUCCAGCUAAUCUGUCUGCGAUUACUCGUCGGAUUAUCUGUGGUUGUAAUGGUUGGCCUUGGAGAAAAUUAAUUAAAGUUCAAAAGAAUAUUUAAAAUUACGGCUUACGCGCCCUACGAUAUUCGAACAAUCAGGCGAUCAAGGUUGCCAUCUGAUCCUCGCAAUCGAUUUAUCGAUUAUAAAAAACUAUCUUUUCCGACCCAAGCCGCGUGUGUCCCGAAAAAGUGCAUAGAAACUUUAGAAAAAUCUAACGGCAUCCGCGACCUAAUCAGCUAAUUUAGCUAACAGGCGCACACCCGCCAAUCCCGAGCUAAAAAAGGCCCAAUACCGCGUGCUAUCACGGCUGGCUGCUCCGGCAUUACCUUACAUAAAGGCCUUAGGAUUAAAUUCAACUAUAUCAGUCAAACAUAGGGCAGCUCUACCUCCCAUUUUCAUCAUCGUCGUUCCUCCAUAAAAAGGCCCCGUUCAAGCCUUACAAAAGGGCUAGCAAAAACCCUUUCGACCCAGCAGCUAUUUUUAGCGCGGUCGAAGCAACACAAUUCAAUCUUUAACAUCGUCGUCUGUUGUUGUUAUCCUACCCGCGCUAUUCAAGGCGGCUGAGCAGCGCGAAGGUAAGAUCAACGCCCACAACUCCGACGAGGGAGGAAUCUUCGCCAGGUCAGGAUCGACAAAUACUUAAAAACGAAGAUAAACCCCUCUGCUAUUUGUCUAAAAAUUGACACUUUUGUUGAAAAAAAAAAAUUUUGAAGUUAAAGUUUUUCUAAAAGGAUGAGCUGGUAAGGAGACUGAUAGAAGACAGCGAAAGGCAAAACAUAGGCCUACUAAUAGGCUGUGAUGCUAACGGGAAUUGGAAAGUACAGACACAAACGACCACGGUGAGUCUCUUUUUAACUUUAUCUUUAGUUCAAAUCUCUUCAUAUGUAAUAAAGGUAAUGACCCCACUUUUACCAUUAAGAACCUCUCGUCUCUAAACUACUAUUAGAGACAGUAACUCACUAGAGGGUGCUAGGUAAGCACUUUUUCUCGGACCACAGGUAUAUAGAAACGACCCUCACAACCAACCCAUCAAAACCAGCAGUUUUUAUGAACCCAAGGAAAACAGACUGGCAAAAAUACAAAAAUAUUUUAAAGGAAAAAAUCCCAAUGGAUCGCCCUCCAUACCCUCAAACAAUUUCUAGUCUAAACGAACUAGUUUCUAUUUUCACAGAAACCUGCAACUAUACACUAAAAAGGCCUAGAUACUCGUAAAAUGAUUCCUGCUUUCGCUUUUUUCGAUCACGGAGCUGCUCAAGAACAUUUGCGCUGCAGAUUCAUACCAAUGCUUGACUGGUAUGGAUUCACCGUCAAACUCAGGAAUGAUUUUUCAAAGCUUUCCGCCGUAACUGAGCAACUAUUAUUGCUUUUAUCGUCGAAUCCUCUUUUUCCGGCGAGCAGUUUUCAGUAGCCCCAACUGCUGCAUUGGAGGGCGCUCCACUUGCUUCUUCAAGCUUCUGAUUGUCGUUAUCCAAAUCCGUCAUUUUACGAUUUUUCACUGCAGCAGCCACUGACCUUGUAUAGUACGGCUGACAUCCUUUCGCAAACGGAAUUCUAGAAAAUUCUUGCUUUAUUGUCUUCUCACUUACCGUUAUUCUUUCCCGCUUCUUGUUUCUUUUAAGACCUCGGGACCGCGUGAUCACUUGCACUUUUCAGACUAGGACGAGCUAAAUUAUUAUUAUCAUCUCGAUUUAUUAUAUCGUAUAAGUAUUAAUAUAUUGUUGGAAAUGUUCGGCUCUUUUUGCUUUCUUAACUUUUUCUGCUUCGGCGUCACUUCCCUGUCUCUGCUGAUUCCUCCUUCUUAUCUCGCUUCCUCUUGCUUCCGCGUUGCCACCCUUUUUUUCCCAUGUACGCGCGUCAUAUACUCUUCAGCUGCUGCUGUUAAUGUUAAAAUUCUUAAUCCUCUGCUGAUAUUCUGAUGUUUUUUCUGCUAGUACUCUGCGGCAUUUUCUGCUGGUAAUCUUCUGCUUUUCUGCUGCCUUCCUGCUGCCUUUCUGGUGACGCUCCGCUGCUUCACCAUCUUACAUAUAUGUAUGUUACUUGUUUAGUCAACUGCUAUAUACAUAAUGUAUCAUACAUGUAUAUAUUUAGAUAAGAUAUAUA